rnacentral:lncRNA from 1 species
UAGGAUUGGAUCCUACCCAGCGAGGACGAGGUGAGUGCGCAAGAGCAAGAGCCAGAGCACGAAGAAGCCAGCCGCGUAAUGACGAGUAGUGAUUUUUGUUUCUUUUCUUUUUAUUUAUGUAUACUGUCGCAUUGAGGACAAUGCAUUAUUUAAAUGUGGGAGGAAAUCCUUAUCACUCAUCUACUUGUUUCUAUUGCUAAUAUUUUCAGCCAAUACAAUUUUUUUUGCUUGUCCUUUUCAAUCAUUUUUACAUAUUUUGGCAUAAUAAAAAA